GGUCGGAAAAGAGUCGUUUAGCAUUUCAGAGCGUCAGCGAGUGUUUUGGCUUGCUCACCCAAGCAAGAGAGAAGCAAGGAGAGCACGGAGUACGAGGCCGGGUUUCCCUAUGGGGAUGUCUACCCCCGGAUGGGGGGGUUUGCCUGCUGAUGCUCCGAUGUCAAUUGUCCGUACUGUCAGCAUAAAUCCCCUCACUUCUUGUUGGCAUUGGACCCCGUAACUUGGCAUUGGACUGCUGUUAUCACAACUCCUCCUCCCUGUAAAGGCUGUUGGACUCUGCUUUUGGCUGCGGAAGUGAGACAAAGGGUAGUGGGGUGUGGGACUGAAACAGCAAAUACAGCUAGGGAGUUUUUUUCUUUUUCUUUUUCUUUUUCUUUUUUUUUUUUUUUUUAAGAUUAGAUGCGCACUCUGCAAAUUAGAGAUAGCAAGACUGACCUAAAGAUGCAGAGUUAGUUUCCAUAGCAAUGAGACCUAUGAGUUCUCAAAAUAUUCAGGUCUCUAUUAGGUUAGAAGCAGAUAAAAAUAAUUUGCUUACAUAAAGGCAUGCCAGAUCUCUUCCAGCAAAACGCUCGAUUUUAAGCACAUGAGUAUCAAGGUAACGGACCUCCAUAUGUACCUGACUGUUUUGCUUGCCUGGGAAAGAAACACUCUUGGUGAAAAGUGCCUUUAUCUCCCUAGCUAGCUCUUUUCCAGCCCUGCCCACCCCUGCUGCCCAGGACCUUUGCCUGUGCUUCCUGCUGCCAAGCUAUCUUUAAUGCAGACUUUGGCUUUUCCCAUGGGACAGGUUGGUUCCUCCCCACCAAGAACGAGAGACAGCGCUGAGCACCGCUCCUUCCUCCAGGUUCCUCUGUAGUUUGGCUGGGGGGCACCUUGGACCCGCCACCUCGUGAUUCGGGUGAGAUCAGAUCUGCUUGUGAAGAGGAAGGAGCACGCUCUGAAAAUGCGUGUACUGAAUAGGUAUGUACCUGCAGGAAAUCUCCUCGCCCCUUCUCCUCCUGUCUCUUCAGCAAGGACCAGAUGGAGUUAUAAAGACGUGACCGAUGGCGCACUGCAUCUCCUAACCGCAGACCCUGCAGCAUCCCAACCGGGACGGUGCGAAGGGAAUGGGAAGUCCCUGCCGCCACACAGCGCGAGGCACGCCGCUGUGGUAGUGCACCAAGGAGGUCUCCAUUAUGAAUGCCUCAGCAAUCAAAGCUCUGGGUCGUGGUGAACCUCUUAAAGUCUUAAACAUCGCUGGCAUGGUAAUUCAAGCAGCUUUGAAGUUGUAGCUCGUGAUUUGCCCAAGACCAGUAGCCAGACAAAGGCUUCGAACUGGCCUGCGUUCCCCAGUUUGCCUCCCCACUCACAACUGUCCUUCCCUUUGUGCACGCUGUCUGGUUCUCCUCUUUCUCUUUGUUUUCCUUAGGACUGUACUAAAACAAUUGUCUCCGUCUUGUGGCCUCCUUCUACUGCUGAAGAAUUUAGACGUGUACUUGAAAACACAAGCAUUCCCCUUUCCCAGCCAAAGCCUGAAGAGAGAUCCCGUUUUACGUGUGAACCCGUGCCGGAGUUGCCGCACUAGCGGGUCUGAGCAUCGGGGAACAACUGCUCGGCGGGGAAGACUGCAUUUCCCUCGUGCGGGUGUCACAGCCCAGUCAGAGACGUUACGAGGAGGCAGCUGGGUAGAUGCCGGUGCCUGGACUCAGGGGCGCAGAUUUAUGCCCUCUGCUCAGGUGGAGAGGGACUUGCCAGCAGUCCCGUGCCUGUCACAGCAACCCACAGUGCGGAAGGGGACGUGGACCCUGCUCCCCGCCCCGGGCGCUGCAGGCUGGGCAGGGGCAGGCUGCAGGCAGCUCCCACCACCCGGCCCCCCGAGCUGUCUUGGCUGACGUCCUGGGGGACAGCAAGGCAGCCUGCACGGGGACGUCCAUCACAGCGGUCACUGGGAGUUACAUUUUUUGGGGGCUGGUUUUUUCCCUGAUAAGGUAUGUAGAGAGAUAAGGGGAGCAUAUAGCAGCUCUGGUUCUCAGAGAUGUCAGAGGAGAUAAACCCCUUUUUCUGUGGUUUUCUCUGGCAGACGUGAGCAAUUCAGUGUACAAACUCUAGUAAAAGGAGCAGCAGCAAAUUACUUUUAAAAAUGUUAAUUGUGUUUGACUCCACUGUACCGUUUGCACAAAAGCGAGAUGGUUCCUGCUUUGGGGAGGUUUAAGCUCCCAGGUAACUUUUGCCUUGUACAGCCUGAGAAACAGAUCUGCACGGAGCAUGUCUGCCCACUCUGUACCAGCUGGGGGUGUUCAGGCUCAAGUUCACAGAGUGAAGUGCCUCAAAUCAGUUAAAUCCAUAUUGCCUUCAGGGUCAAAAGCACAAGUCCCUGACACCACCUACCCUGUGCUUGCUUUUCCUUGUCUGGAGAGGCAGCUUGGCUAUUUCUGGAAAGUGCAAGCAACAUCAAGGACCGGGGGAUUUGGGCCAAGCGUGAGGUCAAAGCCAACAUGACAGAGCAAUUAGAUAAUCAGCUUCUGAAAUCAGUGGCUAUUAAGCGUAUGUAGCCCAGACAUCACGGUGAUUGGCACGUAGCAGCGUUGAUGCCGAGGGUCUGUUAGCUGAACCAGCAGCUCCUCGCUCCAAAUACGAGCGGUAUUUGGGAAGAGCAGAUGAUCUGUCUUCGGUCCCUCUCCCCUCACCCGUGGCCAUUAGGGGCGGCAGGGCAGGUGGAGCUGUCCUUUGGGUUGGAGUUGGCCCAUGGGUCACAGUGCAAAGCCUUCUGUGCUAGCAGAGGGAUGAUUGCUGCAGAAGCAUUUCGAUUGUUAUCGUUUGAUAUAAGCUUAAUCAAAUUGGUAUUUUAAGGGGUUUUGCUUUUAUGGACAUAGCUGUCAUGGAAACAAGCACAAUUGAGAAAGAACAAACCAGAGUAAAAGUCAGGAGAAAGAGGCGAAACAACUGUUUUGAGCAGUGAGUAAGGGAAUGGUGCUCCCUGGGUCUAGCAGAGGGGUUGUCAGGGAUCAGGCCGGGGAAGCCGACUGCAGCUGCACACAGCAAACCCAACUCCGCACGCACCGCUGCCCGGCACGGGCGUCCCACGCUGAGCCACGCGGUCAGGCUUAAACACGCUCAGCCCAGAGAUAUGAAUUAAAAUAAAGUGUGACUUUUGCUAUCCUGUAUAAUUUUCCUUGCCCUUAGUAAGUGCUUAGGCGGAACUACGAGUGUGUGUGGCACUUCACCGAUCGGAGAAAUUGCUUCCCUGCAGCGAUUGCUCAACGGGGGUGGGGGCAAGGACUGCUUGUGGUGAGAUUGCGUAGUGCGGAAGGCGGCUAGCUUCGGAGAUGGAAGUGCAUAGCCCUUUGCCACUGGGUUGAUUUUCACUCUUUAGCUAUUAUGCAAUAGGGCUGGGUGGUUAUUUUUGUAAUUAUUUUAUUUACUGGAAAGGAGCUGAUGAUAUUUAUGAAUUUGAGCUCAAUUUUGCAAAACUUUCUACUGGGUAAAAACCAGAAAUGUUGUAAAAACAGUUUCAAAAUGUUUUGGUUUUUUUUUCUAUUUUGAAGGGAAAAUAAGUGGCUAUGGUUUUCCAAUCCUGGAAAAAUAUUUUUGUUUUGGUUUACCCAAAAUAUUUUCUUCCCUGUGUUUUCAAGUUCAUUGGGCAAAUACAAAUAACAGGUUCUUUCAUUCUUUUCUGUGGAGACAAAGAGAGUGUCUGUUCUGUCUGUUUGUCAUUUUAACU